CGAUGAUGCAUAGCCGAGUUGAGAGACUGAUCGGCCACAUUGGGACUGAGACACGGCCCAAACUCCUACGGGAGGCAGCAGUAGGGAAUCUUCCACAAUGGACGCAAGUCUGAUGGAGCAACGCCGCGUGAGUGAAGAAGGUUUUCGGAUCGUAAAGCUCUGUUGUUGGUGAAGAAGAUAGAGGUAGGUAACUGGCCUUUAUUUGUACGGUAAUCAACCAGAAAGUCACGGGCUAACUACGUGCCAGCAGCCGCGGUAAAU
rnacentral:rRNA from 1 species